UGAUCAGAGGAGCUGGGCUCCUUGCGAGCUCAACCUAUUCUAAACUUUCAAUGGGUGAGACGUCUCGCUGGCUUCACUGCAGCGACGACUCUGAAUCCGAGUGCCCAGUGGGCCACUUUUGGUAAGCAGAACUGGCGAUGCGGGAUGAACCGCAUGUCGAGUUAAGGUGCCUAAGCGGACGCAAAUCAGAUACCAUGAAAGGUGUUGAUUGCUCACGACAGCAGGACGGUGGCCAUGGAAGUCGGCAUCCGCUAAGGAGUGUGUAACAACUCACCUGCCGAAGCAAUCAGCCCUGAAAAUGGAUGGCGCUAAAGCGUUCCACCGAUACUCGACCGUCGUCGGCACGCGAUCGACUUCCGUUCGGUCUCAGGCCACGACGAGUAGGGCGGCGCGGUGGUGAGCGUCGAAGGCGUAGCCGUGAGGCUAGCUGGAGCCGCCAUCGGUGCAGAUCUUGGUGGUAGUAGCAAAUACACAAGCAAGAUCCUUGUGGACCGAUGUGGAGAAGGGUUCCGCGCGAACAGUACUUGGACGUGGGUGAGUCGGCCCUAAGCCAACGGGUAAUUCCCGCAUCCCG
rnacentral:rRNA from 1 species